AAGUCAAAGACUGAAAUUCGUUCAGCUCCUGAAAAAUACAGGUUUUCAAAUUUGUUAUUAACUAGAAUACAUGUUAGAACAAAACUAUGGUCUGUCGCUGACAAGGUCACGUUCAGUUUUGCGCGCUUUACGCGGAGGAUGGUUUUCCAACAUGUGGUUUCAUCCAGGUUAGCUAAACAGACGAAGCAGCUAUGACGUUAAAUGCUUUGGAUUGUGUAACAGUUUGGAUCGACGGAAUUCAAAGCCGGUGGGUGGGAUGCUGGCCGCUGCCUCUGUUAUUGUUAACCACUGAAGGAUUUCAAAUGGAGUGGGGAACAGUACGGACUGGCUUGUGGAAAAAGUGGGCUUGGUGUGGAUUGAGGAGGAACCGAUUUGACUGCGUGGAGAUCUCUAGCCAAGCUCAGCCCCCUGCCUUCAGAGCCCUCCCACUGAGUUAACCUGGACACGUGGAUGGAGAUCUUCCUCAUAUUUGCAGUGUGCUUUUAUCAAGCGCUGAUUGGUUUCCACAACAAACUUUAGGAAAGGACAACACCGCUGACAUGUUGUGAGCUAACAGACACAGCGUGUCACCAGCGCCAGAUAUUUACAUCGACACAAGCUGUUUUGCUGAGGCUUUUCUUUAAAGUGAGAGGCACAAAUUAGUCCGUGCACACAGAGGUUAGGAUGAAUGCAGUGACAGUCCUGAUCAAGCUAUUAUGGCCAGAUUAGAUCAGAGUUUAUCUUUCACCUUUUGAAAGGAUUUGAUUUCGUGGAUCUAAUCAAAUAAACAGUUGCAGCGGUUUGUAUUUGACCAUUUAUGGCACUGGCUGUCCGUGGAACCACAGUAUUUGCCUAAAACAAAUACUUGUUUGGCGAACAUGUUUGGCAAAAUGUCCAUUUGACUGCAGUGAAUGUGUGCCAUGCAUAUGUAGUGGUCAACGUCCUAGCAUCCUUUUAAAAGAUGCAUGCCAACUAAUGUGGAGAGCCUAACGUUAUUGUCACAUUGUCGUCUCAUUGUCGUUGUUUGUUGUACGUACCCAGUACUGUACAUUAAAUGUCAGGCAACUGUUUUGCAUUUUGUACUUAGUUGUGAGAGAAAAUCCUUUUAGAGGGGAAAAUAUAUUAAAAUACAGUACACUUACACAUCUGGUCUGUUUAAUAGUACUUCUUUGUUGGCUGUUGAAGUUUGAUAUUCUU
ensembl:lncRNA